rnacentral:rRNA from 1 species
AUUGAACGCUGGCGGCAGGCCUAACACAUGCAAGUCGAGCGAGCGGCGGACGGGUGAGUAAUGUCUGGGAAACUGCCUGAUGGAGGGGGAUAACUACUGGAAACGGUAGCUAAUACCGCAUACCAUCAGAUGUGCCCAGAUGGGAUUAGCUAGUAGGUGGGGUAACGGCUCACCUAGGCGACGAUCCCUAGCUGGUCUGAGAGGAUGACCAGCCACACUGGAACUGAGACACGGUCCAGACUCCUACGGGAGGCAGCAGUGGGGAAUAUUGCACAAUGGGCGCAAGCCUGAUGCAGCCAUGCCGCGUGUGUGAAGAAGGCCUUCGGGUUGUAAAGUUCUUUCGGUGACGAGGCGUUAAUCACAGAAGAAGCACCGGCUAACUCCGUGCCAGCAGCCGCGGUAAUAC